rnacentral:rRNA from 1 species
GAUGAACGCUGGCGGCGUGCUUAAUACAUGCAAGUCGAGCGAACAGACGAGGAGCUUGCUCCUUUGACGUUAGCGGCGGACGGGUGAGUAACACGUAUGUAACCUCUCUAUAAGACUGGGAUCACUUCGGGAAACCGGCUAUAAUACCGGAUAAUCUUUCGAACCGCAUGGUUCGAUAGUGAAAGAUGGCUUUGCUGUCACUUAUAGAUGGACCUGUGCCGUUUUAGCUAGUUGGUAAGGUAACGGCGUACCAUGGCAACGAUACGUAGCCGACCUGAGAGGGUGAUCGGCCACACUGGAACUGAGACACGGUCAUGACUCCUACGGGAGGCAGCGGUAGGGAAUCUUCCGCAAUGGGCGAAAGCCUGACGGAGCAACGCCGCGUGAGUGAGGAAGGUCUUCGGAUCUUAGAGCUCUGUUAUUAGGGAAGAACAAACGUGGAAGUAACUGUGCUCGUCUUGACGGUACCGAGUCAGAAAGCCACGGCUAACUACGUG